rnacentral:rRNA from 1 species
UGGGGGAUAUUGCACAAUGGGCGAAAGCCUGAUGCAGCGACGCCGCGUGGGGGAUGAAGGCCUUCGGGUUGUAAACUUCUUUUGCUCUGAACAAGGCAUGCCUUUGGGGUGUGUUGAGUGUAGGGGUUGAUUAGCGCCGGCUAACUACGUGCCAGCAGCCGCGGUAAUACGUAGGGCGCGAGCGUUGUCCGGAAUUAUUGGGCGUAAAGGGCUUGUAGGUGGCUGGUUGCGUCUGUCGUGAAAGCUCAUGGCUUAACUGUGGGUUUGCGGUGGGUACGGGCUGGCUUGAGUGCAGUAGGGGAGGCUGGAAUUCCUGGUGUAGCGGUGGAAUGCGCAGAUAUCAGAAGGAAUACCGGUGGCGAAGGCGGGUCUCUGGGCUGUUACUGACGCUGAGGGGCGAAAGCGUGGGGAGCGAACAGG